AAAAAGUUUUAAAUAUUGUGAGAUUACCAAAAUGUGAUACAGAGACACCAAGUGAGCAAACGCUGUUGGAAAAGUGGUGCCAGUAGACUUGCUCAGUGCCAGAUUGCCAUAAAUGCAAUAUCUGCAAAGCAUAAUAAAGUGAAGCACAAUAAAAUGAGAUACGCCUAUAUAAACAUGUUUUAUCUUCACAACAGCUCCGUGACUUGGAGCUAUUACUUUCCUCCUUUUCAGACAAGAAGACCGAUAAAGAGGUUAGGGGACUUGCCUGAUGUUGCAACACUUGUGAGUGCAGAGCCGGGCUGGGGGGUGGGGAGCCCGAGUCCCAACACCACACUCUCACUCCAACAUCCUGGCUUUUGCCCCAAACAGAAAUUUGCCCCAAACAGGAUUUCCCUGUCAGACUGCCUCCUUAAAUGUCACCAGUAUCUAUCCAGUUACAUAGAACAAGAGCUCAGAUGUGCUGUUGACCUCUUCCCCCCAUUCCCCAUCUUCAUGCUUUCAUCACCAAGCCUUGUUGAUUGUGCCUUUGAAGUUUUUCUUCAAGAGGCAGAAAGCAGUGAAGCAGUGUGUCUCCCUUCACUGCUAAUGUCCCCAGGCCUCAGCACGUAUAAUGACCCCUCCACGGUGAGCAAAUCAAUGAACUCACACUCAUCUUGGUCUGGGGGAUGGAAUGCCCUACCUUUGGAUGCGUCAUCUCUUUGAUCUGGGUGGAGGAUAAGCAAAUCACGACUGGAUUGGAAUGGUCUGUCAGGUUUGGUAGAUGGAACCUGCAUGCAACCUGCAUCUGUUUACUUGUCUGUCUCUAUAAUCAGAAAACAAUUAUUGAACACUUCCCACGUGGCAGGCAGGUUUUCCCCUUCUUUCCACAUAUACCAUAUAAUCCUUGCCAUGACCCUGUACCUUCGGUAUGAUUCUGUUACAGAUGGAGAAACUAAGGCUCUCAGAAGUCAGUUACUUGGUCAAGGUCAUAUAGUCAUUAAGCAGCAGGAUCUGAGUUUGGAUCCAGGUUGUCUGGUUUGGCUCCAUGUCCGAAACCAUGAAGCUCUACUUCCCCCAGGUACCAUCUUCACUUUUCUGCCAAGAAUUUGAAUCUGUAACUACAUUAAAAUCCUGAAUCUUCCACUACUAGACUCAGUUGGCCUACAACAGCAAAUCACCUCCUCUUGGUUCGCUCAUUUCUUUUCAUUGCUGAAUAAUAUUCCGGUUUCUGGAUAUACUAGAGUUCUUUAUCUGUUCCCUGCUGAAGAACAUCUUGAUCGCUUCCAAGUUUUGGCAAUUAUGAAUAAAGCUGUUAUAAACGUCCAUGUGCUGGGUCAAUACUAAGGAGCACGAUUGCU